rnacentral:rRNA from 1 species
AAACUGUCAAGUCUCGGGGGGGCGGCGGGGAGAGGUAGGCCUUGCUACCGGACCUAGCGGCGGACGGGUUGAGUGAAUGCUUAGGAAUCUGCCUAUUAGUGGGGGACAACAUCUCGAAAGGGAUGCUAAUACCGCAUACGUCCUACGGGAGAAAGCAGGGGAUCUUCGGACCUUGCGCUAAUAGAUGAGCCUAAGUCGGAUUAGCUAGUUGGUGGGGUAAAGGCCUACCAAGGCGACGAUCUGUAGCGGGUCUGAGAGGAUGAUCCGCCACACUGGGACUGAGACACGGCCCAGACUCCUACGGGAGGCAGCAGUGGGGAAUAUUGGACAAUGGGGGGAACCCUGAUCCAGCCAUGCCGCGUGUGUGAAGAAGGCCUUAUGGGUGUAAAGCACUUUAAGCGAGGAGGAGGCUACUUUACUUAAUACCUAGAGAUAGGGAUGUUACGUCGUAAAAUAAGCACAGGCUAACUCUGUGCCAGCAGCCGCGGCAAUAAGAGGGUGCGAGAGUUAAUCGGACUU